rnacentral:rRNA from 1 species
UACGGAGGGUGCAAGCGUUAUCCGGAUUCACUGGGUUUAAAGGGUGCGUAGGAGGGCAGGUAAGUCAGUGGUGAAAUCUCCGAGCUUAACUCGGAAACUGCCGUUGAUACUAUCUGUCUUGAAUACCGUGGAGGUGAGCGGAAUAUGUCAUGUAGCGGUGAAAUGCUUAGAUAUGACAUAGAACACCAAUUGCGAAGGCAGCUCGCUACACGAAUAUUGACUCUGAGGCACGAAAGCGUGGGGAUCAAGCAGG